CAAAAGGGAAGGAGAUCAAUCCCUGAAUGAAAGCAACAAAGUUUGCCCUGAGAUUCUCUGAUGACUUGUCUGGUUCAUGGCUGAUCAACUUCUUUGCGUGAUUUCGACUUGAGGAAGCAUCUUCUUGAGACCAUCAUGGCCAAAGAGAGUCAAGACCAUGCUUUUAAGGAGGGAUGUCUGAAGUUUGGUUUGGCUUGAAGAACUGGAUAGUCUCCCCUAGUAAUGGGAAACCCAUGGAACCAGACAGAAACUGAAAACGUGCAGAGGAAACAGACAAAGAGAAGAAGAAGAAGAAGAACGAGAAGUUGAGUGCUGGCCCAUCUUCG